rnacentral:rRNA from 1 species
AUUGAACGCUGGCGGCAUGCUUUACACAUGCAAGUCGAACGGCAGCACGGACUUCGGUCUGGUGGCGAGUGGCGAACGGGUGUGUAACAUAUCGGAACGUAUCCAAUAAUGGGGGAUAACGAGUCGAAAGAUUCGCUAACACCGCAUACGCCCUACGGGGGAAAGCGGGGGACCUUCGGGCCUGGCGUUAAUGGCGCGGGCGAUAUCUGAAUAGCUAGUGGGUGAGGAAAAGGCUCACCAAGGCGACGAUCAGUAGCUGGUCUGAGAGGACGACCAGCCACACUGGAGCUGAGACACGGUCCAGACUCCUACGGGAGGCAGCAGUGGGGAAUUUUGGACAAUGGACGCAAGUCUGCUCCAGCCAUGCCGCGUGAGUGAAGAAGGCCUUCGGGUUGUAAAGCUCUUUCGCAAGGGAAGAAACCUUAGCCACUAACAUUGGUUGGGGUUGACGGUACCUUGAUAAGAAGCACCGGCUAACUACGUGCCAGCCGCCGCGGUAA